UACAGAGACUGCAAGCGUUAUUCGGAUUCACUGGGCGUAAAGGGUGCGCAGGCGGCCAAGUGUGUGAGGCGUGAAAGCCUGGAGCUUAACUCCAGAAUUGCACCUCAAACUACUUGGGCUAGAGUGUGGCAGAGGGAGGUGGAAUUCCACGUGUAGCGGUGAAAAUGCGUAGAGAUGUGGAGGAACACCGGUGUGGAGCGGA
rnacentral:rRNA from 1 species